AUCUUAGUUUGAGCUAGGGAGCUUCGGUCUUGAAAACCGAAGUAUUGAUAGGAAUACCGGGGGUUCGAAUCCCUCUCCAUCCGC
rnacentral:tRNA from 1 species